rnacentral:rRNA from 1 species
CACGUAGGGGCCAAGCGUUGUCCGGAUUUAUUGGGCGUAAAGAGCUCGUAGGCGGUUCGACAAGUCGGGUGUGAAACUCCGGGCUCAACCCGGAGACGCCACCCGAUACUGUCGUGACUGGAGUCCGGUAGGGGAGUGGGGAAGUUCCUGGUGUAGCGGUGAAAUGCGCAGAUAUCAGGAGGAACACCGGUGGCGAAGGCGCCACUCUGGGCCGGUACUGACGCUGAGGAGCGAAAGCGUGGGGAGCAAACAGG